rnacentral:lncRNA from 1 species
UUUUUUUUUUUUUUAUUUGUCAAAUAAUCCUUUAUUUAAUUUUUCUUUGCCAUUCUUAACUAGCUGGGCAUUCCACCACGCCACUGUUGAUGUUGCCUAUGAUGUUGUGAGGGUGGCAGCCAUCAACAUUGCAGCCCCCAUACUGGGCAGUCUCCAGGAUUUAUUUCAUGGUUCCAGAGAGUUCUCUAGCUAAAGAUUGGUGCCACAUCAGUUGGGCAAUGUUGACAAGAUCAUCAAAAGUGAUGUUUCCACUAUGCUUAAUGUUUUUCUGCUUCUGUCUCUUGGUGGUUCCUUGAGAGCUUUGAUGAUCAGCGCAGAGACAGGAGGUAUCACCUCAGUCUGAGCCUUUCUGUACUGAAUGGUCGAUUUCACUGUAAUUUUCAGACCUUUCCAAUCACCAGUUGCCUUGGCGAUGUCAUCACCAAACUUUUUGGGAGACAGACCUAGGGGGCCGAUCUUGGGGAACAGGGCAGAUGUGGCACCAACUUCCCCACUGGUGCACGUCAGGUAUACGACUUUGAUCUUGUUGGGGUUGAACUUAGGUGGCAUGGUGGUAGCAGCUGGUGUCAGAUGAACCCGGAUUCCAGACAAAGAAAGUUGCACCUUGGCUUUCUCUGAGCCGUAAGCCAAAAGCUAGGUAUUGUUUUCUUUAUAUUUAUCUUGCUUUGGUCUGUUAGUAGGUGUUUGCGACCACAUUUGGAAAAAAAUUAACCAUUAUUCCUCUGUUAUGGACUAAAUUGGGUCUCCCCAAAAUUUGUAUGUUGACGCCCUAACUCCUUACCUGACAACAUUUGGAAAUAGGGCCUAUUAGAAUGUAAUAGAGGUUAAAAGAGGUCAUAUGAGGCCUUAAUUCGAUAGGGCUGGUGUCCUUGUAGAAAAGAAAGAGACACUACAUAUCUCUCUGCAUGCCUGCAGGGGAGGGCCAUGUGGGGACUGAUGGCACCUUGACCUUGGACUUGCCUCCAGAACUUGUGAGAAAAUACAUUUCUGUGGUGUAAGCCACCAGCCUAUGGUAUUCUGUUAGGUCAGCCCUAGGAGACUAACACAUCUUCCAAAUUUUUUUUUUUCAGUUCUUCUCUUCUCUCUUUCAUGGACUCCAACUGAGAAUCCACUGACUUAUUUUCAACCUUCUCUCUGUUUUCUAUUAAAAUUGCAUAUUUUCUUUUGACCUAUCCUCAAGCUUAGUAACCACUGAUUUUACCAAAUACGAGCACAUUCUUAAUAUUACACAUUGUUUUGCUGAGUUGUAGAAUUUUCAGUGGGUUAUUUUCUAUAGUUUCCAUUUAUUUUCUGAGAUCCUCUCUCUGCCUAUUCAUCACUGUCAUAUUUUACUUCAGGUCCCCAAAUAUUUAUAAUCAUGUAUUUAAAGUCCUUAUAGUCUAACUUCCAAAUUCAGGGUAUUUUAUAAUUUGUUUCUGUUGACUGCUUUUCCUCUUGAAUGUGGGUCAUAAUUUCUUGUCCCUUCUCAUUGCCUACUAAUUUUUCAUGGUAUAAUAGAUAAUGUAGAUGACACAUUGUAGAAACUGCAUUCUGUUCUCUUGGUCUAAAGAUUAGUCAUUGUUAUUCUCAUAGAAAAUUACAUUGAUUUGACCCAAACUCAAAGUUUUGGCUCCCCUCAGGUGGGCAUCAGCUGAAACUACUCAUUUAUAUCAGCUUUCUGGCUAUGCUUUUCACUGAGAACUCUGAACUCCCCCUAGCCCAUGUGCAAUUCAGGGGUUAGCAAAGAUCUUUUGUAGAGUUUAUAUACAGAUCUGGGGCUCUCUCCAUGGGAUCUCCUCCUCCAUGGGAUCUUCCUCCUUCCUCUUCUCAACUCAUGAAAAUCUAGCCUGUAUACUACUUUGAGAGUGCCCUCAGGAGUAGAGCUACUAUAGUUUCCUUCUUUCAUGGGUCAGCUCCUUCCAGUUUCUAACUACUUUGUUCACUAUUUCUUCAAAUAUUUAAUCCAUGUUUGUAAUUUUUAUCUGAAUGAGGGUGAGUCAUAUACCACCUACUCUACCAUUAUGGGGAUAUAAAUUUAUAGGAAGGUUUUUAAUAACAGUUUACAUUUUUUAAAAUGGCUAUUGGACACAUCAGACUUUCUUGUUUCUUUGCUCUCUGUCUCUUUUGGUCAUUGUUAAUUUGUCCUUCGUAAGUACUUGCUUUUUUCAUGUAGUUUUGUGAACUUUAUUGGCAGAGAUCCUGUUUUUUGUUUUAGUUAUAUUAUUGCACUGUAUACCAUAGAGUCUGGUGCCUGCCUAGCCUCUGGACUUUGAGUUAUUGAUUAUAUAAUAUUUCUUUAAAAUGAUAAAAAUUUGAUUCAUAUUUCUAAAGUCUGAAAGCAUCUUGCAUAAAGAGUAUUUAGUAAAUAUUGAUAUGAAUUAAAUUGUCAAGAUCCAGAAUUUUUAUAUUAAAAAUUUAUACAUUGUCAUCACAUAAAAUCUCCCAGAUGAAAAUGACAAUUUUCCUCUCUUUUUGUUUUUUGCGGAGGGGGAGGGGGAUUAUGUCCAUGGCAUGCAGAAAUCCCAGGCCAGGGCCAGGGGACUAAACCUGAGCCACAGCAGUGACAAUACUGAAUCCUUAGCAGCUAGGCCACCAGGGAGCUCUGCCAUUCAAUCUCAAAUAUUUUUCAUAACUGGCAUCAAUCUAUGGUAGCAAAAGAGAGGUGUGGAAAUUUCACUAUUUCAUUAAAAAGUUUAAAAUAAUUUACUUUAAUUAGUCCCUUGUGGACACAAGUAAAACAGAAUUACUCAACUUAAAUAACUAACUGGGGCUUCCUGUAAGGAUACGAAUGGAUACAGAGAAGAAUGACACUCAGGUAUGGAACCAGAUCUGAGGUAGAAUGGAAACCACAGCAGUGCCCGGUAUUACCAAGGCUAGAACCAGAUUCUAAGCAGCUCUAAGUGAUUCAGUAGUGACUAGCUUUUAAUGCAUUUUUACACACAUCUGUUCUUCAUUCUUGUCCCCAAACCAAUCUAUUUCCUUAUGGCUUUUGCUUCCUCAUAACUCUAAAUUCCUUAUGAUUCUUCUCUCUGCCUUAUGGGCGAAUAAUCUCCAUCUCUGUUUCCUUUAAGCUUCAGAUUUCUUUGCCUGUGCAAACAUUUUGCCUGUAUUAAUUGGGAUACUUUUAAUUGCAAUUAAUAAAAAUGCAAAGCAAAUUACCAUUAAUGUAAAAAAAAUUACUGAUGUCCAUGUAUAGGCUCACCAUUGCAUUCAGGAAUGGUUGAUUCAGGGCCUGAAAUAAUACUUCUCUCUCUCUCUCUCUCUCUCUCUGUAGAUAGACAGAUAGACAGAUAGACAUAGAUAAUGAUAUGUAGAUAUAUAUUAGACCAGAUUGCUCCAUGUGAUGGCCGUAUUGACACUACCAGUCCUAGAGUUACAUCAUUUCAUCUUAGUGUCCUGGAUAAGAGAGUGUAUAUUCUAACAGCUUUAACAUAAUAUCCACAAGGAGUACUCUGUCUCUAAUUAACAUAACAUUAUGUGCAGAUCUCUGAAUCAAGCUUUGUUUCGUACCCAUCGUAGUAGAAGCAGGGAGAAUGUCAGCGCCCCCUGCCCCCAAACUCUAUCCAAUAAAUUUCUAAAAGGGAAGAUUAUUAGAUUCUUAGAAGAAGUGUGAAAAGAAGUGUUGGACAGAAACACAAAGAAGCCUAGCAUACUCCAUACUCUUAGCUCAGAUUUCUGACAAUGAUUAUGUUGCCAUUCAGGGCAUUUUCCACUGGCCACUCUCAUAGUCUGGCAUGAAUACAGUUCUUGGAUGCAGUAUUUUGUCACAAUCUAGUCACAGGUGCUUUUGAGCAGUAUCACAGUGGACAAAACUGGUGUACAGGCCAGUCUUACGAUAAAACCUCGGAGUGGAAUUGUUUUUCCCUUAGAAGUGUUUAUGAGCUUAGCCCACAAGUAAUAAUUCGAUGAGGAUUACUGGAUUCAGUAAUGCCCACUGAGGUAUUAUUUCAGAUGAAGAGAGUCAAUUGGUUACAUUAUUUUUUAAAACUCCAAAGUUCAUUAUUACUCUCUUUUAAUUUCCAUCUAAUAUGUCUAUAAAUCUAUGCCUUAACUCUUAUUACAAAGACAAAUACUAUAAAAUAUUGACAUUUUUGUAAAUAUACUGGAAUAUGUCACAUUUGAUUAAGUUUAAUAUUUUUGUAGAGUAGGGAGGCAAGAAGAGAGUUGUAAACAGCAAAUUAUCUCUUAUAAAGAAAUUAUCUGAAGCUCUAGAUUGACUGUGAUUCAUUUCACAAAGUUAAACAAUUCCAGAGGUUAUAAAUCUUUACUGAAGCCAAAGAUAAUGUUUAUACAAAAGUGAACGUUUAGACAUGGAAAGGGACAGAAUUUCAUCCAAAAUGAUGCCUAUAUUAUUUUUUGUACUAAAUUCUAGUAUGUGCUUAAUUCUGAAUGUUCUCAUGACUUAAUACUUUAGUGUUUAAAGCAAACUGUGUCUAGGAAAAAAAAUGCACAGAAAAGUUAAAUAAGGAGAAAAUGUACCAUAUAAAAUUAUCUGGUUUUAAUAUAAAGCAAGAUACUGACUCGGCUCAAGUAUGUUUCAUAUCUUUAAGUAUUUUCAAUAAAACAAUUGAGGCAUACAUGAUUUGAAUACCAGCCUGAAUAAAAAGUAAUAUUUCAUUCAGAAAACAAAACACUGAAGAGAAUCAAUGUUCCUUUUUAUCUCUCAACCUAGGAAAAGGCUUAACUUUGAAAUGCAAAUUCUAAAUUUAGUAUUCAAUAAUUCUAAAGCUUUCUCAAUGAAAUUAAAAGGAAAUUCUGUUUCCUCAACUGAAAAUUCCUCAUGCAUUCCUCACAAUAAGAGAUAUGAUUGCACUUAUCUACUCACUUAUCAUAAGCACUUGUAUAAACACAAUUUUUCCAUAAAGUUGAAAAAAAGUUCACCCUACUUCCCAGUCCUACUCCACAUGUCUGAAAUAUUCUACCACCCUUACCUUCUUUGAGAAAUAGCAGAGGAAGAAUCUGUCACUACAAACUUUCCCCGACAGUGGUUUUAACUUUGUUGUGUUUAAUACAAAUCUUUAAAAACAACAACAGUAGAGCCAAAUCCAUCAGUUGGUUUCUAAGGUAUAAUAUUUGCAAAGUACUCAACUAGGCUUUCGCAAGUGAGAAAUAAACAGUGAUUCCAGGAGAGACCACAUUCCUCCAAGGCCACAGGUAGGCCACUGACCACUGUGGCACUGGAGUUGUCCAAGGUAAUAUUUGUGGUGAAAUGGUUUUCAGUUAAACCAUGAUCUUCCACUUCAUGUCAUUUUAUCAGACUCUUUCUCUAAUUGCAUAAUUUCAGAAAUAUGAAACCUCGCAACUCGAGUCAUGAAUGUCUCUACAUGUGAAUAUUUCUAUUCAUAUUCAUGUUCAUACUUGGGAAUGAUAUAUAUAGAUACACGCAUAUAUAUAUAUAUAGAUACAUUCUUAUAUAUAUAAGAAUUUGAAAGACAUUUUAAGCCAAAAUUUUGUAAACCUAAAGAAAAUACAAAUAAAACAUUGCACAUCUAUAUAAUUGUAUAGUGUUUAAAAAGUUGACUCUAUAUUGACUUUCUUUAGCUAUUCAUUUUUUAGAGUAUAAUUUCAUGAAAAUUUUGUUCUCACACGCUUUUUCUACUUUUUCAUUUCUCUUUACCUCCAGUUACUCUUUCUCCUGAUCCAACUAGUAUCACUGAAGCAGGUUUGUACGGGUGUCACCAAGGUCAUCCUUGUUGCUAAAUUCAAUCAUUAACUUAACCCCUUGUGGAAGUGUUAGUUACCAACCCAAUAUCCAUUCUUUAGUUAAACAGACCCCAGUUAACCUAAUGGUUCCUGGUUACAGCAAACUGAAGGAGAGUCGCCUCAGGCAACCUCAGAUCCAUGAGAAUAAACUGAUAUUUUAAGCUUUAAAUUCUUGAAUGAUUUGGUUUUUUCAUUUUUUAAUCGAAAACCAUCAAAACUUUUCAAAGAAAUAUAUUAUAAACAGUGGUUUUUACUAAAGGAGUAAAUUUGUUCUAAAUGAAAAGUACAUUCCCUCCAUGAAAGAUCAAAUGCUCAUUUUCCAGUUAACUUGCACUACAUUAAUGAUUUGAUUAACAGUGUGCAAACAAGGACCAUAGAUUUUAUUUUAAUUAGGACUGAAAGAGCAGUAUAAAUACUGAUGGGGGGUAUGUUUUAUACCCUGAACUCCAAUACACCAUCUCUUUGUCCUGUCUUGUCGUUAUAAUUUGUAAAAAUCUCAACCAUGCAGUAAUUUGAGGAUUUUUUUUUUAAUUUCAGUGAUGUGUUAAAAGCAAUGAGU